ACGUGAUGUACUUAAAUUGGGGCUUUUAAUUUUAUUAGUUGAUAUUUUCUAAUGUGGCAGAUGAUAUAUUAAAAAAAAUAAUAUUCACAUGGCUUAAAUAGCCACGUCAUGAAGCUUAGGUGGAAGUGGAAGGAAAACAAGACAGCAUGCAGGUUGCACAGUUUGAACAAGCAUCUAGCUAGUGUGAGGACAAGGAAAAGUGCUGUAAUGGUGAUGAAAAGGCCUGCAAGGCAUGUGUCUCUGCCCCCACCUCAAUAUCAUCCAGACAGUCAUUCAAUGACACCGUCUUUGUAUUACGGUGGUGAGGUUAGACGUUUGCCUCAUGCCAUGUAUGUGGGGGGAACUGUUGAUAAAUUUGAUUAUGUUUAGCCAAGAGAGUGUUGCUUGGAGACUCUGAACAUGUUUUGUUAUGGUGUUGGGACAGAGAGCGAUAGGAGAUAUUAUGUAAUUGUAAACAAAGGCUUAAGUUAUUGAUAGAUAACAAAGGCUUAUGAAGAAUUUAAAGGAAAGGAAACUGACUAUUUAUGGUAAAAGUGACGACAGAUGGCUGAAGUGGGUGUUAUAUUUUUGUGGACCAAGUGUUAGAGACCCACUUAUCCGGUUCACUCGGACGGCCCACUAUUCGACCCACGACCCGUUCGACCCGAUCCGGACUGCUCCACCACUUAAUCGGGUAACCUUAGUUUUGUGUCCUCAUCUUUCUUCUCUCCUUCAACGCCGAACUUCUCGGUCUCCAGCUUCCAUGGGAGUCUUCCUUAGCCAACGAAAUGGCUUAAGGAAGGACUCUAUUGCUGUCCUUAUCUAGAAAUCUUCACCCUUUGUAAAGGGCUUCUCCCCUCUCGGCCAAAGAUAGAAAAAAACCAAACAGCUUACUUCUACUCUCCAACAUUCUUUGUGAAUCUAUGUGAUUAAGGUCUCUGUGACCAAGAAAGAGAGGAAUCUGUGUGAUCGAGAAACUAAACCUGUUCUGGUGUUUCGGGUAGUAGAGCAUCCGUGAAUUGGGUUGUGGGUGCGGGACUUUUGUGAUCGUGUACCCUUUUGUGUGUUCAAAGGAUCUGACUUGAAUCUGAGCCUAAUUGUUACUGCAACAUUCUUUUCGUUUGAUUUGUUCAUAUCUUAUUAAUUUUGUAAUCAUUAUAAUUUCUGUAAUUAUUUUGGCCUAUUAAGGAGUUUCGUACUCCAUAUUCGUUUGUAAAAGUUGGAUAGGUAUUUCUGAUAUCCACUCUACAGUGGUAUCAAAGCAUUGGUUGCUGAUUCGUAAAAGCUCCGGUGGUGGUAAACUCUCUUAAAACCCUCUCUACAUUCUCUGCAUUUACUUUCUAUCAUUCACUAUUUUUUUGGUUUUAUUACCGAGGUGCGUAUCCCCUUGAUUACCCUCCUGGCCGGACCCU